CGGUAACGGCCCACCAAAACCGACGAUGGAUAGGGGUUCUGAGAGGAAGGUCCCCCCACAUUGGAACUGCGACACGGUCCAAACUCUUACGGGAGGCAGCAGUGAGGAAUAUUGGUCAAUGGACGAGAGUCUGAACCAGCCAAGUAGCGUGAAGGAUGACUGCCCUAUGGGUUGUAAACUUCUUUUAUACGGGAAUAAAGUGGUCCACGUGUGGACUUUUGUAUGUACCAUAUGAAUAAGGAUCGGCUAACUCCGUGCCAGCAGCCGCGGUAAUACGGAGGAUCCGAGCGUUAUCCGGAUUUAUUGGGUUUAAAGGGAGCGUAGGCGGAUUGUUAAGUCAGUUGUGAAAGUUUGCGGCUCAACCGUAAAAUUGCAGUUGAUACUGGCAGUCUUGAGUGCAGUAGAGGUGGGCGGAAUUCGUGGUGUAGCGGUGAAAUGCUUAGAUAUCACGAAGAACUCCGAUUGCGAAGGCAGCUCACUGGAGUGUAACUGACGCUGAUGCUCGAAAGUGUGGGUAUCAAACAGGAUUA
rnacentral:rRNA from 1 species